GUGGACACUCCUACGGGAGGCAGCAGUGGGGAAUAUUGCACAAUGGGGGAAACCCUGAUGCAGCCAUGCCGCGUGUGUGAAGAAGGCCUUCGGGUUGUAAAGCACUUUCAGUAGGGAGGAAGGUAGUGUAGUUAACACCUGCAUUAUUUGACGUUACCUACAGAAGAAGCACCGGCUAACUCCGUGCCAGCAGCCGCGGUAAUACGGAGGGUGCGAGCGUUAAUCGGAAUUACUGGGCGUAAAGCGCAUGCAGGCGGCCUGUUAAGUCAGAUGUGAAAGCCCGGGGCUUAACCUCGGAAUUGCAUUUGAAACUGGCAGGCUAGAGUCUUGUAGAGGGGGUAGAAUUUCAGGUGUAGCGGUGAAAUGCGUAGAGAUCUGAAGGAAUACCAGUGGCGAAGGCGGCCCCCUGGACAAAGACUGACGCUCAGAUGCGAAAGCGUGGGGAGCAAACAGGAUUAGAUACCCUGGUAG
rnacentral:rRNA from 1 species